GACGAACGCUGGCGGCGUGCUUAACACAUGCAAGUCGAACGAAGUGGCGAACGGGUGAGUAACGCGUAAUUAACCUGCCCUUCAGAGGGGGACAACAGUUGGAAACGACUGCUAAUACCGCAUACUGAAGGAGGGGAUUGCGUCUGAUUAGAUAGUGGGGGGGGUAACGGCCCACCAAGGCGAUGAUCAGUAGACGGUCUGAUGGGUUGAACGGCCACAUGGGGACUGAGACACGGCCCAGACUCCUACGGGAGGCAGCAGUGGGGAAUCUUCCGCAAUGGACGAAAGUCUGACGGAGCAACGCCGCGUGAGUGAUGACGGCAUUCGGGUGGUAAGGCUCUGUUAAUCGGGACGCGGUACCGGAAUAGAAAGCCACGGCUAACUACGGGCCAGCCGCCGCGGUAAUUC
rnacentral:rRNA from 1 species